UGGCCACCUCCUGGUGGUAAGUCUCGCUCCUGGAGUUCCCAUCUUGACCCUACAGCGGGACAUUUUGCCGCCACCUCUUUGUGUGUUGGGAAGAUGACGUCCUUUCUGCUCGUCCUGCUUCUCUGAUUGGGACAGUCUGGUUUGAAAGGGAGGAGGAGAAAUAAGAGAAAGCUCCGUGGUAAUAUACAAGACGAAAGGAAAAGAAAGACAAGUAAAAGGAAUGAUCUGCAACCACCUGGAUAUUGGAGCACAAUUGUGAGAACAACUGGAUCUGUGUCUCUGGAGAUCCCUUUGCUCAGCCAUCAGAUCAAGCAGGCAUCCAUGGUUCAGAAUGGUGAUGACCUGGGCAAGAGCUCACCAGUAAGGAGCAAAGGGGCCCGCCUGCCACUCUUAAGCAGAGCGCCUGCUGAAUCAGGAUUUCCAAGGCUCCGGCUGAGUGCCUGGCUGGGGGCUGUGUGUGCAGAUGCCACAAGAUGGACAAGACUGAGGACGCAGAUUUCCUACAACAGCAGACUUCUGAUGCCCAGGCCUCAGUUCUGAACUCUGGAGGCUACAACCUGGCCUGCUUAUAGACGGUGGACCAAAUGAAGGUGAAGAGGAGACGGAUGAGGAAACUGAAGCAACUGUUCAAGAAGAGGAUAUAAAAAGGGACAGGCAUUGAUGAUGAUAUCAGAGCUUCUUCCUGGGGAAUCUCAGCCUCACAUGAUGGAGUAUGACUAAAGGAAAAAAAUAAGGCUCUUCACAUACUUUCUUGGCAGUCUGUGAGGGUCAGGGUUGAUUUUGUGUCCCUAAAAUGUCACAUGAAGUUCAUAGGCACUUCCAAAGGGGCAGUCUAGCAAGUUAAAGAGUAGAUGUGGGGCUGUGUGGAGUCCAUUGUUUGGGUAAUCUUUUUCAAACAGUAGGAAUAUACCAGCUUGUAAAGAUUUGCCCACUUAGCUUCAAGUCUCUCUGAACACAUUUCCCCCCGCUCUAUGAAUAGAUGAAGACAUACAAAUGGAACUCUUGAUAUUCUUAAGUGAAAAACAUGAUAUGGAAUAGCAGAUAAAUACAAACAAU
rnacentral:lncRNA from 1 species